GACUUAUAAUUUUGAAUAAAAUUUCUCUAAUCCAUUACUUAGUUUUUGCAUUUGUAAUUCGACUUGAUACAAAAUUAAUAGCCUGAGUAUCUAAAUUUCUAGUAACAUACCCCAAAACAAACAAUUAACUUACAAUCUUACGCAUAUACACAUCACAGAAUUUGACUGAAUUGAUAUUGAUACCGUUAACAAAGAGAGAGACGGGAAUUAAAACAGGUAUAAUUGAUAUUGGAGAGAGGGAGAGAGAGAGAUAUAUAUAUAGUUAGAGAGAGAGAAAGAGAGACCUGUAAGUAACGUCUCUGUGAGAAGAAGCGAAGCUAUGAGUGUGGUGAUAGUCGUUCCUUUCCAUGGCAGCGGAGAUUUGGAUCGGAAGGAGCUGGGCAGUGGUCACGUUCUGGUUCGUGAGACAAGGGGACUAUCACAUACAUAAAGUCGUAUGCUACUGCUUGUUUGUGUCUUUUCUUUUUUUUUUCCAGGUUGCUUGUGUCCGGCACGAACAUUGUUGUAAAAAUCGAGAAUCGGAGUUAGUCGGUGAAGUAUCAUCUAGCGAUUAAUAAGAUAAUCAUGGAUUAAUCGGAGUAAUUAAUCAGACCAUUAAUCGUAAUCAAUUUAAUAUUAUAUUUUAAAUAAUAUAUAUUAAUAUACUUAUAUACUAUAAAUUUAUGGUCUUAUAAAAUUAAAAGAUUAAUGAUUUCUUAUAACAUAAAACAUGCCUAUAUAUACAUAUACAAGUCUUGUCAUCUUAUAGAUAAACAUGAAUUUGAUCGAAUUUGCGAAAGAAGAUAUUACAGAUUUUUGUAAUUAGAGUUCAAGGGGUAAUUAAAAGAGUGAAAGGUAAUAAAAAUAACUUUAAAUUCCGUGAUUUGUCAUUUCCGUGCCUUUUGUUUUAUUUGAAAUUAAAUUUUUAAUUUUUAAAAAAAAUUACUUUGCGUUUUUCAAAAUUUUAAAUUCACCGAUUUAUGGUCGACUUUUACUAAUUAAUCCCGUCUUUGACCGAUUUUCUGAAAAAAUGAUAUUUUUCACCGAUUAACGCUUAAUCGAGAUGGUGGCCGACCGAACAGUGAUUCAUUACCGAUUAAUCGUCGACUUUUAGAACACAGGGCACGGGCUAUAAAGCAUUGCAAAUCUUUUCAUGUUGUCAAUAACUUCUAAUUUAAUAAAAAUAAAAAUUAUAGCUGAUCUUUUCAUGUUGUCAAUAACUUCUAAUUUAAUAAAAAUAAAAAUUAUAGCUGAUGUUGUAAAUAACUUCCAAUUUAGUAAAAUUAAAAAUUAUAGCUGUAUAUUUAUAUAUUAUUUAUAAUUAGUUACAAUUAAUUUAUGUACGCCGCUUUCUUCGAUGCCGAUAAUGAAUCAAUGUGCAUGCUCCCCUCGAAUGACUUUAGCAUGGCCAAUUUAGGUGUUCGAAUUUGGCCGCUUGUAUUCAAUAUUUCAUGAGCAAACACUAUCCCAGGCAGCUGUGUCAAUGUAAUCUGGCUAUAAAUUUCAAAAAAUUCUAAAACAAAGAUAUGCAGAUAUAAGUGAUCGAGCAUACAUAAAUAACAAAGCUGAUAUCAUAUAUGAAUAAUGAUAUUUUAGAUGUCAUUAUCUCAUCUUUAUCCUAAGAAGCUCAAAUACACAAGAAAUAAGACCUUGAAUUGAAGGGCAAUUACUAAAUGGAAGCCAUGAAUAGAAAAUGCACAGUAGACAUACAAGAUAAAUCAAAUGUUCAUAAACACACAAAAUACUAAAUGAAGACGAACUUGUCUACAGAACAGAAAAGUCAUAAUCACUUACUCUGCUUUGGACAUUUUUUGUUCACGUUUGGCUUGGAUCAGGGCCUAGGCUCACUUUUCAUCUAUCGCAAAAUCAAAUUAGUUGUGAUGCAGCAAAACAUGGAUAACAAUAUACAGAGAGCAUCCCCUCUUUCCGGACAAAAAAUGUGUUGUAAACUGCAAACAACAUCUUGCAGAAAAACCUUGUAAUAACAUCAAUGUAUCGACUCUAAUAUCACCAACUUCUAACCCAUGCUUGUUAACAUCAAGCAAACAAACGGAUCAUGAUACUCGACAGUCUCAACUUAUGGUUCCCUUGGAAGUAACGGGCCUUCUAAAGAACUCCCCACUUCCAUCAGGCUCCAGGAUUUCAUGGUUGACAUGUUGCUGUCCUUAGUCAAUGUCUGAACAAAAACACGUUGGUUUCCCACCAUUUGAUUUUCUUCUGCUCUGGGGCAACAGUUGUUGAGCAAAAGAUCUUAUCACCGUACAUAACUCUCAAUGUGUAAUCAAUCAUCAUUAACAAUUAAAAAGGUAACAGUGUCCACAAGGUUGAGAUUACUUACCAGUAGCUUUUCAUUGCUUUAUUGAAAUUGCUUCUCUAUUUGGCGAGAAAGGACAAAACCUCUUUGCCUUUUCGCUCCCUUGAGGUUUGAUGAACUCUUUUCCUGUAACUGUCAAGGAGACUUUAAAUUGCAAACCAUUGAAUAGGGAAUGAAUUAGCUGAAGAGUAAGAGAAGUCUGACCAGUACCUUGAACUUCAAUCAUGGUACUUUUACCUUUGUCUAAAGAAGGCCUUUUCUCUGCUUCUUGAAGAGUAUUAGUUGUGCCACUUACUCCAGAUGAUACCUUUUCUUUCACCCUUGUGAGCUCUUGAUUCUGUGAAUGGGUUCUUUUAAGUACACCUUCAUCGUCACUGUCAUCCAAGAUGAUUACCUCAACAGGUGCUUUAUCAGGGUCUCAUGCAAUACUAUCUGUUCCCAAUGGACUUGUGUUAUAGAUUAAGACCUCAAUAACUGCUUUAUCGGUCUCCAACAAUACUCGGCUUGUGUCAGAGAUUAUAGAGCUUUGUUGGAUAAAGGGCGUGAGAAGUCUGACAUUACCUUGAAUUUCAGUCAUGAUAUUUUUACCCUUGUCCAAAAAGAAGGCCUUUUCUCUAUUUCUUGCAGAAUAUAAGUUGAGGCACUCCCUCUAUAUGAUGAUCACAACUGGCUCUUUAUCAGGGUUUCCUGCAAUAAUAUCUGCUCCAAAUCAACUUUGUGUUAGAGAUUAACCAUUUUCCCUUUUUGUGGAGUAUGACUUGUGGCACCUCUUCUAGCUGAUGCCCCUUAUCUUCCAUCUUCAUAUGUUUUUACAGUGAAUGGACUUCUUUUAUCUCGCUUUUGUCUUCACUGUCCACCAAGUCAACCACGUCAAUCAGAGCUUUGUCACCCUCUUGUACAAUAGCUUCAGGCCAAAAACUAACAUAAAUUGUAAUUGGACGGAUGUUAAAUUUUGACUACAUUUAAGUGAAAACAGCUAAUGAAUUUAAUUUUCUGCUAUAUUUUGCAGCUAUCUGAAACUACAUUGAAAAGCACAAUACGAACUAUAUAGUUAGCAGACCAUUCUGUAAUGGCUAAAGAAAAACAAAUGCUAGUGUACAAUGCUUAGAUAAUAUAUAUAGGAUAUAAUUACUUCUACCUGCAGUUCUUAGCUCAAAUGAAGAAUCCACUUCCACACUUGAUCUUGGACAGGUUUCCUGCAGUGGAGGAAGAUCAGAAUCCAUUUCUUCCAGUGCCACCGUUGCUAGUAUUUCUAGGUCACAAGUGUAAGGGAUUUCGCUUUUUAUCAUCACUAUCAUCCAUGCUUAUGGCCUCGAUAAGAGAUUUAAUAGCAUCUCCUCCAAGAGAUUCUGUCCAAAAUUAACUUGUGUUUCAGAUAAAUAACAAUUAAGAUAAGACACUGCAGUAGAGUUGUUAGAUGCAAAUAAUAUCAGGAGAAAAUUAACUGAAUAUGGAUAUUGAAAUAUAUAAAACAAGAUAAAACUAAGUUCAUCUACCUCCCGAAGCUCUGACCUCAAGUGAAGACUCUUCUUCCAUUCCAGGAAUACAUAAAUGCAAAGAAGUCGUCUAUUCAGCAGUCAAUAUUUCCUCAGCAGCAGUACUGGUAGAAGGGACAACUUCACGAACACAAUUUGUGCAGCGCCACCACCUGAAUUGAGGAACAUCAAGUGAUCCUCGCAGCCACUCCCAUGUAUUUUCACUAAUACCAUUUUAGGGGAUUCAGCCCUGCGAUUUUCUCUUCCUUAUUUCAGCCACAUAUCCACUGAACACACAUUAGAUAAAUUUGUCAAGAAGAUACUAUUAUGCCUUUAAAUAAUAUUUGAAACUGUUCGAUAACCAACUCUCUCAAUAAGCCUUAAUUGGUUCUAAUGGUGAUGCUGCUGGUGUAGCUGCAGCUUUUCAGGCUCCACUUGGUGGGCUGCUAUUUGUUCUUAAAGAAGCAGCUUCAUGGUACUUUAUUGUUUCCUUUUAUCCAUGUUCAUGUAUAUGCAACUGAUAUGUUCCUUGUGCUCACACUUUUAAGAUUUGAUCAGAACUAUCAAACUAAGCUCGGUUAGUUUGUUUGUUCUUAUCAGGCUUGUGGGCUCUGAAUAGUCUCCUUUCUAGAUGCCAUUAUCUGGUUGUUUACCUGUAGUCAGCACAUGUAACCAAUAUAUGUUAAAAGAUUUAAUUUUACAUGAGAAUUAUAUUCACGGAGAGAUGUAUUUAUCUAAAUGGUACAUCAGAAGGAACCUCUUAGAGCAGAAAUAUUUCUUAAAAAUCUGUGGAAGGACUAAGGAGUGUCCAGUGCAAUGUAUAAAACUUUGCAAUGUAGAAAGAAAAACUACCUCUUUCUACCAUUUUACAACACCUAACACUUAUUUCGAGCAAGUCUUCUCAUUAUCAUAACAAGUUCACAGUUAAAACACCAUAAACAGUGCAUUUUUUUUUAUCUAAUUCUGCAAUAUUUUCUAUCCAAUUUUAUAACAAAAAACUUGUAUAUAGAGCACCUCGCACGUGAUAUAAAGCUAGUUGGAUUGAGAUUACUACAUGCUGUUUGGUUUAUAUUAGAAUGGGAAUCGGAAUACUUUUUUAAAAAUUUUAAAAUUUUCUUAUAAGCUUUUAAUAAUAAAAAAAUAGCCAUUUUUUACUUUUUAUUUUAAUUUUUACAUGGAUAAUUUAAAAAAUUCAUAAUUUGAAAUAUUAUAAAUUAUAAUACAAAAUUCAUUUACUUUUCACUAUCAAUUUAUUCUUCAUUUCUUUUAUUAUUUACUUAGAUUUUCCAAAAACCGUAAAGUCUUACUAAAAAUAUGAAAAAUAAUCAAAACAAUGAGUACAAAAAAACGAAAAAUCCUGCGAGCACAUGCUUUAAUUAUCCAAUAUUACCACAACACAUAAAAAAAAAAAAUCUAGUUAUUGCAUAACUAUAAAACAAAUCAUAAUAACCUCAUGCAACUAAAUAAAGUAUAUUCUCAACUUUUUUUACAAAAUAAAAGUUUUGAGUCAGUUUCAAACAACAAUGUUACAUCAACUUUAAGUAGUAUUUAAUUUUUUAAGAACAUGAAUCUUCCUUCUCAAAAGGAGCAAGAGCAGCUCCGACAGAAACUACCCAUUAUGACCACCUGCAAUGAAGAUGAUCUUCGAAAUAUUAGUCAGCAAUAAAAUGGAGCAUACCAAAGUUGCAACUAGUGCACAUUUUAAAUGCCUUAAGGGGCAAACAGCGAUAUAGCAAGUUCAACAGAACUUAAAUUUUUACAAGUCUGAAGAACUAUAAAGAUUCCUAAAAGGGAGAAUUAAGGCAGUCUGAAGAGAAUUGCAGGUUGAUCUACUCGUAAACAUUCUAUUGUACAAGCACCAAGAGUCCAAGACUUGUCUAGAUUGUUUAUUUAUAGACUAAAAACACAAACCUCUAUAAUAAGUGUAGAUAGUUUAUUUCCUCCUAACUCCUUACACAAGUUUUAAGAUAAGGAAGUAAGAAGAAGGCCAAUCAAGUAAAGAACACAACAGUACAUUUCUUCAACAUUUGUAGUGCCAAACAUGAUCCAUUGGCCUUAUAGAACGAAAAGAGUCUAUUUCUGAUCGUAGGAACUACAAAAAAAUAUUACCCAUAAUCCAUGUUCAUAAGAGGGACUUCAGAACCAUUGGUACAUGGUAAUUUACUGUUAACUAUCCAUUGGCUACAACUCUCUAAACUUGAUGCCAACUUAUCCGAGUAAUAUAAAAAAAAACAACCUAAUUGUUGAAACUUAAGAGAAGAGAAAUUGAAACUAAAAGGAUAGCAGCUCUCAUCGGUAACAAAAUAAAAGAUGUACCAAAACAACAUUAUCGAAAGAUGUACCAAAAAUGAUAUGAUAACAUAUGUAAGCAAAAGAAAAGACCAAAACUGUAUUCAAUAAAAGCUAAGACACCACCAUACAACAUUCUCAAUCCAAAAGACAAACAGAACACCGCAAGAAAACUGUAAAACUUACCAAGUUGCUUAAGGUCACGAAGCCUGCAGUCCAAACAUGACAUACAAAUCCAUUAACUUAUAUAAACAGGAAUAAGCAGCAUUCCAGAAACAAAACUUAGAAUUGUGCAUACAUAUUACUAGAUGAAUCAGCUCUAAGACUUAAGACAGGGGAGGGAUAAUUAAUCACCAGCUGAAAACAGAAGAACACAGGGAAGCAUUAACAACAACUUUGUCGAUCUCUGCAAGUGAAUCUGCAAAACCCAGAAUUCCAGAAACACUACUAUAAGAAAUCAAACCACAUAUAUUUUUAAAAAAACAAACCAAAUAAGGUAUCCCAGAUAAAGAAACCACAAUACGAAUUGGAUGAAAAAGAUCAAAACUUUGAAUUCUGCUCAGUUGGGCAUUAAAUCAAACACGUUAUUAUUAAAACCUUUUGAUGCAUAAUUGGCAUAACUGUAUUAUGGCAUAACUUUUUUUAGUGAGCAAAAAUACACAAAUGCAUAUAGUGAGAAUUAUGGAAUAACAGAGGUAAUCAAGUAACACAGAAGAGAAUCCUUAUGCAAUCUUACAGUAUCCGAGUGUAAGUCCACUUGUAAUGCUCCAAAGCAAUAAACAUACAAUUCGGUAGAACACAAUUUAACGACCCUGGAGAAAGAUAGAUUUGGAAAAGAAAAUUUGUUGACUCUAUCUGAUCACCAAUCUGUCUUAAGACCUUCACUUGUUCCCUAGAUUAUAUGCAAAAGCUAUUUAGACAUUACUGCGGUCCAGACAUCCACAAAUAUAUUAAUCACGGUUUUUUAGUUUAGUAGACUUCUUGACAGAACACAUAAAACCAUCAUGUGAGGUAGGGCAAAAAAGAAAGAAAACGUAAGACUGGAUUUGAACCCAUGUCUGUGGACUGUGGGUCGCAACUUGCAAGAUUUUAAAAAAGCAGAAAUUAGACUAAUUAAGCAAAUUUAUAUUGUGCACAUACUUUACAUAGAAAAUAUAAACUUUUCAUACUACUCCAAAGGUAUCCUCAUUACCCUACAGCAAUGCCCCUGAUUAGAACCAUGAAUAUGAAGCAGGACCCAAGAACAAAACUGAAAAGCAGAUGUAUAUCUUGAUUGGCUUAUUAAAAUCCAAGGUCACUUAAAUCAGAGAGCAAAUAACUGUGUUCAUUCAUGGAUUAAUUCAAAUUAUAUUAUAAAAAUUAAAAGCGGCCUCAGUAACAAUUGGAAGAACUUUCAGCCCAACAUAAAAUUAUAAACAAAGAGAGAACAUAUGACCUAUUUUCUGAAUACAUAAGGGAUCAAAUGUCCAAAACAGGGCCCUGCUCCUGAUUUUCGAUAUUCAUAUUUUGCUAAGGAAUUCAUGCAGUCCAAAAUAUAUAGAUAGUCAACUGACUUGCCGAUAAACAUAUAAGCUAUCCGACACAAGUAGUUUUAUCUGUCAUCUUCCAAACAAAGUAAAUAUGCUUGAACAUUCUACAAACUAUUUUACUUUCAUACCCUUGCUUGCCAACAAACAUACUGUAUUCUUAACACAAGACACACCAAUGUAAGCUAAAACAUACAUUAAAAUUCUUAACAUAAAGAACACAGCUAAUUAAAACAUUUCAAUCGCACAACCUACUGUUUAUAAAAUAUACCCAUUUUUGAGAAAAACUAAACAACUUUUGUAAUGCACUAAACACAACAUUCAAACCCCAUCGGUUACAGGCAACAUUAACUAAAUAAUUUACUGUAAGGGAGAAUCAUAUUUCUUCUAAAUGAGGCAACCUGGUUAAACACUGGCCUGAUACAACUUACAAGUGUAGAGGUACACAAGUAAAUCUUGGUUUAUACAUGAAAGAUGAAAUAAUUGAUAAAGUAUUAGUUAAUAAACCCAAAAGAGUAACAACAUUAUAAUUAUCAAACUAUCUAAUGUACAGGAAAGUAAAAAAAAUGGUUUAGCUGAUAGCUUGGUAUGCACCUGAAUAUUUAUUGCUGCUUUAGUUUACCCAUCAAAUAUAAGUAGUUCCUCUGAAAGUCUAUAACUGCCCAAACCAAGUGCCAAAACUGAAUCUCGGGCCAAAGCACUAAGGGAGAGUACAAAAGAGUAGAUGAACUCUGCCACAAGAGAAAAUUGCUUAACCGAGUCUCUCCCGAAGUACGAACUAUGAUGUCAGGAUCAGGUGUAACAUACAUAUGUUUCUCAAUAUCUUUUGAAUUAAUAAAACACUCUUUAUGUUCCUUGUCGUUACUGUUUGGUCCUAACAAGCCAUAUGGACCAGAACCAGUCGCUUCCAAUGCACUUAAUUCUUCCUUUUUUUCUUCACAGGAUUCUUGAACGGAAUGCAAUAUCUCAUCGGUUGAAGUGUAUGCGACACAAAUUGUUAGAACUGCUUUAGAAUUGUCAGCCGUAGCAACCAUAGCCCUCUCAGCGGCCAACCUAACAGGUCUGCUCAGAAGUUGAAGAUUUCCUACAAACCGAACCUUAACCCCAUAUUGGUUUACCAAGCUCUCUUGUUUAGUAAGCCCUUCAAUUUUCUCCAGCAUGAGAUCCAUAACCGACUGAACUUCUUCCGGCCUUCUAUUAAAGUUAUCGAUGCUGAAGGCAAAGAUAGUUACAUACUUGACACGAAACUCAUAACAAUAUCUGAGCAUUGACAUAAGAGCAGAGAAACCAACCCUAUGGCCGGCUCCUUCCAUCAAUUUAUUUUUUUUAGAAAACCUUCGAUUCCCGUCCAUAAUGAACGCAAUGUGACUCGGAAUAGGACCUCUAGAAAGAACCAUAAAGAUGCAUUUCCUCAAAAAAGCUACAAAAUAAGUAAACCAUGUUGUCUGACUACUACUACUACUCUGACUUUCCAUCCUAAUUAACUUGUACAAGCUCAAACACUCCUGUACAUGAAACAAUAAGAGCUUCAGGAUAAAGAAAUGCAAGAAAAUAGCUGCGAGUGGUGAUUUGAAAGCCAAUUACUAAUCACAAUUUAAAUACAAACUACCCCUAAUUCUCGAUUAUAAUUUUAGAUUAGUUUCUAGUAUAGGCUUUCAAAGCCUGGCUUUGUUUAUUUCAGUCAUACCUCAUUCUACAUACUAGAGAAUCAAACAACCCAUUUGAAUUUGAUAUUAAAUUUGUUAUAGUAUCUUCUUUUUUUCAAGAGAAUUGAAUUCCACUCUUUAAAGUAAUAAAUAAAUAUUUAUUGAUUAAUUAAUAUAUUUCUAAAUUAUAAAAAACUGGCUAUUAAUUUACAGAGGUCUGUAUAUUUUACUAGCAAAACUAUCUACACUUAUUUGUGUGCUAUUGGAUAUAUUUUCAUCACUCAAUUAGAAAGAGGUAAGGAUAUUAUUAGAGUCCUUUCCUUGGUUGACAAUUAAUCCUCAUCACAUCUCUAGAAUUCCUGAUUGUCAUUUGUCAUUUCAUUCCGAAAAGUUUUCUAUGGUUCAAUAUUUCUUCCGUGGUUGUUCCUACCCACAGACUAGUCGACAAAAAUAAUAAUAUAUUAUUAUAACCAUAACCAUAACUAUAACUACAUGUGUGUAUUAUGUAAUUAAGGUUUCUAACUUCAUGUUUAAGUUCAAAAACAUUAAAACUGCAGUAGUCACACACAUGUAGUAGUAGGACAUUCAAAUUCUGUAUCAUAUAACGCUAUUAUAUUUUACAAAACAUUGUAACAGAGUAACACAAUUUAUAUAAAGUCAUUCACAUAUAGACACUAGUACAUCAAGAAUCAAUCAGUUUAUACAUGCAUAUAUACAUAACCUAUACGAUUACAGAUACCAUAUAGACGUAUAUAUGAUUAUGCUAAUAUAUAAAUCAGAUAUGAAAAGAAAAGUUACAAAAUCUUCCCGGUGAGUAUUUUGGAGUCGUGAUGUUUAAUCCAUGUGGAGAAGUGAAUGUUGUGGAUUGAUGUGGGCUAUCAAGAGUUUACUGUACAUUUUUUAUAAUCUAUUCAACAUAGGCUUUCGACCAGGAUUUUUAUACCAAUAUUUGACCUGAACACCAGUAUGUGAUCCGAACCGACUAUGUAGUUCGACUAGUCGACUGGGCAGCGGACUAAGUGACACUGCUCAGUCAACUGCGUGCCUGACAAAUACCUAGUAGACAACUUGAGUCAACCUGCAAGUACUGUCGUGACUAGUCGAGCGACAUGAAAACUUUGAUUUCUUGCCUACAUACUUUUGCCUAUUUUAUUCGUCCACUAUUUCUUAUUCACAAAUUUCAUCAACUUUCUCAACAGACUAUUAUUUUUUUCCAAUUUAUGGUUCUUACAAAUCUUAUAAAAACACUUUUCCAUUUCCAUGAGAGUUUACCAUUGAUGUUAAUUAGCUUCACGUUAACUAUUAUAAGAUAACACAAAGAACUAUCAACCUAAGUCCCACCUCCCAAAUUUUAAAUGUCUUUCAUAAAUCCAUAAUUCUGAGCAGCCUGAUCAACUGACAGAGUAUUUUAAAGCGGAAGAAAUAUAUUGCAAAUACGCCGUAUGAAUAACCUAGAACAAUACGGUUAAUGAUUAGCAUACUAUUUAAUUGUAUUACCGUGACAUAUGCUAGCUGGUGAGGGAACAUAUAACCAGUAUCACAAAAAUUCGUAACAGUAAUAUGUAGAAAACCAACCACCUUGCAGAUACAAUUAUUCAAAAAAAAUAUCAACAUAUUUUACAGUUAUAAUUAUAAGGGUGGUCAAUUAAUUAGUCACUUGAAUAUGGUUUUUUAAGAUCUAGGUCGCUUAAUAAUAUAUCCAACAUUCAGGUCAUUUAUGUUGUAAGAUACUUAAUCGAAGUCCUUCUAUUAAUCAAAAUGAAAAAAGAUGUCGAGGGGCAUCUUAUUUGAAAGAAACAAGAUUAUAAUCAUGGCAUAAAAUAAUUACAAAAAAUUAUUUACGCCCCGCCCCGCCCCGCCCCGCCCCGCCCCGCUCUCUCCUUUACCCCUUCCUCAUCUAUCUCUUUCUAUAUAAAUAGAUAACAACUUAUAAGAAUCUUAAUUUCUUCAUUUUUUUAUAGUUUGCUUUUACAGAUAGACCAAAUCAUAUCCCACUCAUCUUCGAAUAUUGUUUUGACACUCGGAUUCCCCCGACUCUGUGGGAAGAUAAAACAUUUAUCCAACCCACAACAAAUUAAUCAUCAUCAUUAUAUAAUCAAUUAUAAAGAUUCAAUAAGAUUGGAUCUUUACAAAUAAAUUAGAGGUCCGUCCCUUCCGGUUUAUAAUAUUCACGAUUAAUAUUUCUUUGAGCUAUAAAGUAACUUUACGCUGGAAAAACUCAAACAUGUUUGUUUGUUUAGGUGACUUAAAGUUAAAAGCUAACUCAUGAUUUUGAAUUAAAUUUAUCUAAUCCAUCACUUAGUUUUUGCGUUUGUAAUUUGAGUUGAUACAAAAUUAAUAUCUAUCCUAGCCUAGGUGGAUGCAUUUGCCUGAGUAUUUAGAUUUCUAGUAGCGCCCCAAAACAAACAUUUAACAUACAAUCUUACGCAUAUAGACAUAUACACAUCAUAGAAUUUGACUAAAUUGAUAUUGAUACCGUUAACAAAGGAAGAGAGACGGGAAUUUUAAACAAGUAUAAUUGAUAUUGGAG
rnacentral:lncRNA from 1 species